rnacentral:rRNA from 1 species
AAAUUUGAAAUCUGGCGCAAGCCCGAGUUGUAAUUUGGAGAGGAUGCUUCUAGGCAGCGGCCGGUCUAAGUUCCUUGGAACAGGACGUCACAGAGGGUGAGAAUCCCGUAUGUGACCGGUUGGCACCUUCUACGUAGCUCCUUCGACGAGUCGAGUUGUUUGGGAAUGCAGCUCUAAAUGGGAGGUAAAUUUCUUCUAAAGCUAAAUAUCGGCCAGAGACCGAUAGCGCACAAGUAGAGUGAUCGAAAGAUGAAAAGCACUUUGGAAAGAGAGUUAAAAAGCACGUGAAAUUGUUAAAAGGGAAGCGCUUGCAACCAGACUUGUCGGCGGUGUUCCGCCGGUCUUCUGACCGGUCUACUCGCCGCCGCCAGGCCAGCAUCGUCUGGGGCCGCCGGAUAAAGGCUUGGGGAAUGUGGCUCCUCCGGGAGUGUUAUAGCCUCUUGCAUAAUACGGCGUGCCUCGGGCGAGGUCCGCACUUCGGUAAGGAUGCUGGCGUAAUGGUUGUAAGCGGCCCGUCUUGAAACACGGACCAAGGAGUCGAUCAAUCGUGCGAGUGUUCGGGUGAAAAACCCUUGCGCAUAAUGAAAGUAAACGGAGGCGAGAACUUCGGUGCAUCGUCGACCGAUCCAGAUGUCUUCGGAUGGAUUUGAGUAAGAGCAUGGCUGAUCGGACCCGAAAGAUGGUGAACUAUGCCUGAAUAGGGUGAAGCCAGAGGAAACUCUGGUGGAGGCUCGCAGCGGUUCUGACGUGCAAAUCGAUCGUCAAAUUUGGGUAUAGGGGCGAAAGACUAA